UUAUCAAAAAGUUUUCUAGCUCUUUUUCAUGGCUCUUCAGAGGCGCUGGGCUGCUUUGGGAUGAAGUUGAACAUCUGUUUCCCAGCCACUGGCUGCCAGAAACUCACUGAAGUGGAUGAUGUUUGCAAACUUCUUACCUUUCGUGAGAAGCGUGUCGCCACAGAAGUUGCUGCUGACGCUCUGGGUGAAGAAUGGGAGGGUUCUGUGGUGUGAACUCCUGGUGGGAAGGACAAACAAGGUUUCCCCAUGAAGCAGGUGUCUCCACCCGUGGCCGGGUCCACCUGCUACCGAGUGAGGGGCGUUCCUGUCCCAGACCAAGGAGGACUGGAGAAAGAAAGCACACAUCGGUGGAUGCCAAUCUGGGGGUUCUCAACUUGGUCGUUGUAAGAAAAUGGGGAGAAGGAUAUUCCUGGCCUCACUGAUUCUACUUACCUCGUCAUCUGGGGCCCAAAAGAGCUGGCAGAAUCCACAGACCUUUCAGUCUCUCUAAGAAGAUGCUGCCCACCAGUAUGUUGUGAGCAAGCCCCUAAACAAGGAAGUCAACCGGCUGGAGCCACAGCAGUUACCUUGUGAGCAGGAGGGCAGGACCAAGACUUACAGAUCUAUCUCCCAAGAUUAUUUACUUCCUGAAACAACACCACCAACCAGCUACCUCUGGAAUUUUUGUUAUUUUUCAGAAACAUUUGAAACUACAAUUUUUUAAUUAUAAAAGUAAGU